GACGUAGGAUGCAAGCGUUGUCCGGAUUUAUUGGGCGUAAAGAGUUCGUAGGUGGUUUGUUAAGUUUGGUGUUAAAGAUUGGGGCUCAACCCUGAAACUGCACUGAAUACUGGCAGACUCGAGUGUGGUAGAGGCUAGUGGAAUUCCCAGUGUAGCGGUGAAAUGCGUAGAUAUUGGGAAGAACACCGGUGGCGUAGGCGACUAGCUGGGCCAUAACUGACACUGAGGAACGAAAGCCAGGGGAGCGAAUGGGAUUAGAAACCCGAGUAGU
rnacentral:rRNA from 1 species